rnacentral:rRNA from 1 species
AAUGAACGCUGGCGGCGCGCCUAAUACAUGCAAGUCGAGCGAGAAGACGUAGCAAUACGUUUGUAAAGCGGCGAACGGGUGAGGAAUACAUGGGUAACCUACCCUCGAGUGGGGAAUAACUAGCCGAAAGGUUAGCUAAUACCGCGUACGCUCCUUGGACUUCGGUUCAGGGAGGAAAGCGAUACCGUGGGUAUCGCGCUCUUGGUUGGGCUCAUGUCCUAUCAGCUUGUUGGUGAGGAACGGCUCACCAAGGCUUCGACGGGUAGCUGGUCUGAGAGGACGAUCAGCCACACUGGCACUGCGACACGGGCCAGACUCCUACGGGAGGCAGCAGUGGGGAAUAUUGGACAAUGGGCGCAAGCCUGAUCCAGCGAUGCCGCGUGUGUGAAGAAGGCCUGCGGGUUGUAAAGCACUUUCAGUAGGGAAGAAAGCCGAGUGCUAAUAUCACUCGGUCUU